rnacentral:rRNA from 1 species
AGGUGUCGAUGGCGCGAACGAACUGCUGUGUAUUGAUUGGUGCUUGCAUCAUGAUUUACAUUUGAGUGAGUGGCGAACUGGUGAGUAACACGUGGGAAACCUGCCCAGAAGCGGGGGAUAACACCUGGAAACAGAUGCUAAUACCGCAUAACAACUUGGACCGCAUGGUCCGAGUUUGAAAGAUGGCUUCGGCUAUCACUUUUGGAUGGUCCCGCGGCGUAUUAGCUAGAUGGUGAGGUAACGGCUCACCAUGGCAAUGAUACGUAGCCGACCUGAGAGGGUAAUCGGCCACAUUGGGACUGAGACACGGCCCAAACUCCUACGGGAGGCAGCAGUAGGGAAUCUUCCACAAUGGACGAAAGUCUGAUGGAGCAACGCCGCGUGAGUGAAGAAGGGUUUCGGCUCGUAAAACUCUGUUGUUAAAGAAGAACAUAUCUGAGAGUAACUGUUCAGGUAUUGACGGUAUUUAACCAGAAAGCCACGGCUAACUACGUGCCAGCAGCCGCGGUAAUACGUAGGUGGCAAGCGUUGUCCGGAUUUAUUGGGCGUAAAGCGAGCGCAGGCGGUUUUUUAAGUCUGAUGUGAAAGCCUUCGGCUCAACCGAAGAAGUGCAUCGGAAACUGGGAAACUUGAGUGCAGAAGAGGACAGUGGAACUCCAUGUGUAGCGGUGAAAUGCGUAGAUAUAUGGAAGAACACCAGUGGCGAAGGCGGCUGUCUGGUCUGUAACUGACGCUGAGGCUCGAAAGUAUGGGUAGCAAACAGGAUUAGAUACCCUGGUAGUCCAUACCGUAAACGAUGAAUGCUAAGUGUGGAGGGUUUCCGCCCUUCAGUGCUGCAGCUAACGCAUUAAGCAUUCCGCCUGGGGAGUACGGCCGCAAGGCUGAAACUCAAAGGAAUUGACGGGGGCCCGCACAAGCGGUGGAGCAUGUGGUUUAAUUCGAAGCUACGCGAAGAACCUUACCAGGUCUUGACAUACUAUGCAAAUCUAAGAGAUUAGACGUUCCCUUCGGGGACAUGGAUACAGGUGGUGCAUGGUUGUCGUCAGCUCGUGUCGUGAGAUGUUGGGUUAAGUCCCGCAACGAGCGCAACCCUUAUUAUCAGUUGCCAGCAUUAAGUUGGGCACUCUGGUGAGACUGCCGGUGACAAACCGGAGGAAGGUGGGGAUGACGUCAAAUCAUCAUGCCCCUUAUGACCUGGGCUACACACGUGCUACAAUGGAUGGUACAACGAGUUGCGAACUCGCGAGAGUAAGCUAAUCUCUUAAAGCCAUUCUCAGUUCGGAUUGUAGGCUGCAACUCGCCUACAUGAAGUCGGAAUCGCUAGUAAUCGCGGAUCAGCAUGCCGCGGUGAAUACGUUCCCGGGCCUUGUACACACCGCCCGUCACACCAUGAGAGUUUGUAACAGCCAAAGUCGGUGGGGUAACCUAUUAGGAACACAGCCCGCCUAAUG